CUCCCCACCUCAGAGAGAGAGACCACGCACGCCAGGAAACCAAAGAGAGAGAAACGAGAGAGGGCGGUUCCUCCCCCUCCUGCGCCCGAACUAACCGGAGCAUAUUCCACGCCGGGAUCCCCUCCCUCCCUCCCUCCCACAUAAACGCAGCCCUCCCUGGGAGAGAGAGAGAGAGAGGACAUAGGACAGCAUGUGUUCUUGACGGGGAGUCCAAUCCAAUCCAAUCCAAGAUCCGUUUGUUGGGAGUAGACAAGGAUGCCCCCGGCGGUUGCUCGGCGCAAUGCCUGUCCGCUCCGGUUGUUUGAUCCGACUUGUGCGCCAGUAUUUGCAGCGGGUUGAUCUCUAUUCUAUGGAUGCAUCUUUAUCUAGCAUCCCAUUUGGACAUGGAAUAGCAUCCUAACCUCAUGGAACUCUAAUAAAAUAAUUGGGCUCAGGAUGAAGAUCUAGUGCCAUGCUGUCCUAUGUUACUUGGCUAGUUUAGGAUAGCAGUCUUAGAGAGUGGAGAUGAUAAUCAUCCAAGCUUUCUGCCAGUUCUCCUUGCAGAGAUAAAACUGUAACGAUACUAGACUUUUUCUUUAGGAUUAAGAUUAACUUACUACCGAUUAGUCAAACGGUACCAAAAUAGUGUUGCUGCUGUGGAAAAUACCUGUGGCAUGCAAGCAGUUCAGCAGUGGACCUGCCUUUCUAGAUACUUGUGCAAUUGAGAAGUGCCAUGGAGCCUUUAGUAUCUCUGCCAGGCGCACUGAAGCAAGCUGGCACACGCAGACCUUGUACUGGAUGCUCUGUGAAGGAUUUGUGUCUUGUUUCAAAACAAGGGUCAAUAGCUGAAGUGGAAUCUGCUUUGGCCUUGAUAAAAAAGAACGGUGGAAGCAUUGACGGUAGAAAUGCAUUUGGCCUUGGUGCCCUCCACCUUGCAACAUGGAGAAAUCACCUUCCAAUCGUCAGGCGGCUCCUAGAUGCUGGUGCUAAUCCAGAUGCAAGGGAUGGAGAAUCCGGUUGGAGCAGCCUUCACAGAGCACUUCAUUUUGGCCACUUGUGCAUUGCUGGUGUUCUUCUACAGUUUGGUGCAUCCCUCAAUUUGGAGGACACCAAGGGUCGUACACCUAUUGAUCUUCUCUCUGGCCCUGUAUCACAGACUAAUGGGGAUUCUCCCAAUUCAGUUGCAACGGAAGUCUUCAGUUGGGGAAGUGGAACAAACUAUCAACUGGGAACUGGCAAUGCCCACAUACAAAAACUACCUUGCAAAGUAGAUGCCUUGCAUGGGUCAUACAUCAAAACUGUUGCUGCAUCAAAGUUCCAUAGUGUAGCAGUCAGUUCUGAUGGUGAAUUAUACACUUGGGGAUUUGGUCGAGGUGGUCGUCUUGGACAUCCGGAUAUUCAGAGUGGCCAGACGACAGCUGUGAUUACCCCUCGCCAAGUGACAGUUGGAUUAGGCCGUAAAAAGGUGAAUGUUGUGGCUGCUGCGAAACAUCACACAGUGAUUGCUACAUCAGCUGGGGAAUUGUUUACCUGGGGAUCAAACAGAGAGGGUCAGCUUGGUUACCCUUCUGUCGAUACCCAACCAACACCAAGGCGUGUUAGUUCACUCAAGCAAAGGAUAAUUGCAGUAGCCGCUGCAAACAAGCACUCAGCAGCAGUUGCCGAUACUGGCGAAGUGUUCACAUGGGGUUCCAAUAAGGAGGGCCAGCUAGGCUAUGGCACUUCAAACUCGGCAUCCAAUUGCAUUCCAAGAAUGGUAGAGUAUUUGAAAGGAAAAGUAUUUAACGGUGUAUCUGCAGCAAAAUAUCAUACGUUAGUGUUUGGGGCUGAUGGUGAGGUGUUCACUUGGGGUCAUCGCCUCGUGACCCCUCGCCGUGUUGUAAUAGCUAGAUGUCUUAAGAAGGGUGGAAAUGCAAACGUGAAGUUUCAUCGUAUGGAGCGACUUCAGGUGAUCUCUGUGGCAGCUGGAGUGAUGCACAGUACUGCUCUAACAGCUGAUGGUGCUAUUUUUUACUGGAAUUCAUCGGAUCUGGACUUAAGAUGUCAACAGAUAUUCUCUAUGUGUGGACGGAAUGUAGUGAGCAUCUCAGCUGGAAAGUACUGGACUGCACUGGCUACAUCAACUGGUGAUGUUUUCAUGUGUGAUGCAAAGAAACGUAAGGAUGAAACUCCAGUAUUUACUCGAGUGAAUGGUGUUAAGCGAGCAUCAUCAGUUUGUGUUGGUGAAACACAUAUGCUUGUGCUUUCUAGUAUUUACCAUCCUGAGUAUCCACCCAAACCCAAAAUCCAAAGCAAAAAGCCCUCAUCAGAAUGGAGUGGUGUGAUGGAAGAGUUGGAUGAAGACAUAUUGUUUACUGAUGUCCAGCCUGAAACUGAUCUAUCUGUAACCAACAGUGAAAUGAGCAAAGGCAUACCCAGUCUGAAGAGCCUCUGUGAGAAAGUUGCAAUUCAGCAUAUAAUGGAGCCAAAGAAUGCUAUACAACUUCUUGAAGUUGCUGAUUCCUUGGAAGCCAAAGAGCUCAAGAAGCACUGUGAGGAUACAGCUAUUCGCAACCUUGAUUACAUCUUCACAGUGGCAGCUCCUUCAAUUAUGAAUGCUUCUCCUGAAAUUCUUGCAAAUUUAGAGAGAUUGCUGGAUGAAAAAUCCUCGGAGCCCUGGAGUCACCGCCGUCUUCCCACAAUGACAGCUACUUAUCCUGCUGUCAUUGAUAGCGAUGCAGAGGGAGAUAAUGCAGGAGGAUUCCCUAGGCUCAGGGACAGUCAGAAGCCUGCAUCAAAGUUGUAUGGAAUGUCAGGUUAUGGUAACUUCCUUCAGAAAGAAAGCAAUGCUGAGCAAGCUGUCUCCAAACAGAUCAGGGCAAUUCGCAAGAAACUGCAGCAGAUUGAGAUGCUCGAGGCUAAACAACUGGAUGGUCAUCAGCUUGAUGAUCAACAGCUAGCAAAGCUCGAGUCUAGGGCUUCCCUCGAAAGUGAACUUGCAGAGCUUGGCUUUCCAACAGAAGCAUUUUCAAGACCUUCAGUUUAUGUGCCAAACAAAAAAUCUGAGGGUUCUAAGAAACAGAAGAAGAAAUUCAAGCAGGCAGCACAAUCUGAUAUUACCUCUCUAAAGCAUGAGGACAAGGAGCAAAACCACAAUAAGGAGCUUCCAGAAGUGUUACCAACCCAUGGCUCUUCAGAAAAGGAACCAGUCAAACCAUCUGAUGAUGGCACUUCGAGUAACACAAAAGCCAUCUUUUGUCCAUUAGGGGACAAAGCUUCCCGGCCAACUUCAUCAAAGAAGAAGAACAAGAAAGGCGGCUUGUCAUUGUUUUUGAGUGGUGCUCUUGAUGACACCUCAAAGCUAAGCUUGCCUACUCCUGCUGUGCCUGUGACACCAAAGCAAGAAGGACCUGCCUGGGGUGGAGCUAAGAUAACGAAGGGACCUGCUUCCCUUCGUGAUAUUCAAAGCGAGCAGAGGUCGAAAACGAACGAGCUGAUGACGACGAAAGCAAAAGACCGCCACGAGGAUUCACCUGACAGUGCUGGGCUUUUGCGGCUUUCUUCAUUUAUGCCUGAUGCGUGUUCAAGUCCAAUAUCUGUUACACCUGCUCGUGCUGUUCUUGCUCACGAAGGGGAUAAGAGCACACCUCCUUGGUCAUCUUCAGCUACCUCACCCAACCUAUCACGACCUUCACUCAGGGACAUACAGAUGCAGCAGAAACGGCAUCACAGCGUUGUCUCCCACAGUCCGAAAACCCGGACAUCAGGCUUUGCCAUACCAUCCCUGGGCGCAGCGCCAGAGGUUGUUGGCGUGAAGGACAACGUUCCCAACCGCUGGUUUAAGCCAGAGACUGACACCCCGUCCUCCAUCCGCUCGAUCCAGAUUGAGGAACAAGCGAUGAAGGACUUCAAGCGUUUUUACACCACCGUGAGGAUCAUGAAGCCACAGGUCUAGGAUGAGCUGCCGCAGCCUGGCCUCAAUCCCGGAAGAGUUAGUCAUCUUGUUUAGGCUCAGGCUCACCCUCCCGUUGCAAUGUACAUUCAAGUGUACAGUCAGUUUCUGUUAACUGUAGGUUCCUUGUGUCGAAUAAAGUUCAAAGCUUCUCCUGGCUUUCAUUUUUUGCCCUGCUUUUUUUAUUUUAACUUUGGCAACCUUUAUUAAACGAUGAUCAUGUCUGUUACAAGAUGGAGGUCAGGAGUGUUUCCUUCUGUAACUGGAUCGGCAUUGCUCUCCUGGGCGUCGCCCUGCCGAAAGAGCUCAUCAUCUCCCGGCAGGCAGAGUUCAGCAAGACGCAGUACUUCCACCCUGCGUGGAGUUACUAAUACCGGUGUUCACAACUUCCGGCGGCUGCCUUCUACUCCCUCUGUUCACAAGUAUAGAACGUUUUCGACUUAUCAUACAAGUCUGACAUAUCUUGAAGAAUAAAAUUUCAUUACCAUGUGCUCCCUCUAUCC
rnacentral:rRNA from 1 species